GAUGAACGCUGGCGGCGUGCCUAACACAUGCAAGUCGAACGGCAGCAUGAAUAGGGGUAACCUUAUUUGAUGGCGAGUGGCGGACGGGUGAGUAAUAUGUAGGAAUCUGCCCAGAGGUAGGGGAUAACUUGGGGAAACUCAAGCUAAUACCAUAUAAGCCCUAAGGGGGAAAGCAGGGGAUCGAAAGACCUUGCGCCUUUGGAUGAGCCUACAUCGGAUUAGCUAGUUGGUGGGGUAAAGGCCUACCAAGGCGACGAUCCGUAGCAGGUCUGAGAGGAUGACCUGCCACACUGGGACUGAGACACGGCCCAGACUCCUACGGGAGGCAGCAGUGGGGAAUUUUGGACAAUGGGCGAAAGCCUGAUCCAGCCAUGCCGCGUGCAGGAUGAAGGCCUUCGGGUUGUAAACUAGCUUUUGUACGGAACGAAAAGGUACUUUUCUAAUUAAAGAAGGACUCAUGACGGUACCGUAAGAAUAAGCACGGCUAACUACGUGCCAGCAGCCGCGGU
rnacentral:rRNA from 1 species